rnacentral:rRNA from 1 species
AGUGAACGCUGGCGGUAGGCCUAACACAUGCAAGUCGAACGGCAGCACAGUAAGAGCUUGCUCUUACGGGUGGCGAGUGGCGGACGGGUGAGGAAUACAUCGGAAUCUACUUUUUCGUGGGGGAUAACGUAGGGAAACUUACGCUAAUACCGCAUACGACAUACGGGUGAAAGCAGGGGAUCUUCGGACCUUGCGCGAUUGAAUGAGCCGAUGUCGGAUUAGCUAGUUGGCGGGGUAAAGGCCCACCAAGGCGACGAUCCGUAGCUGGUCUGAGAGGAUGAUCAGCCACACUGGAACUGAGACACGGUCCAGACUCCUACGGGAGGCAGCAGUGGGGAAUAUUGGACAAUGGGAGCAAGCCUGAUCCAGCCAUACCGCGUGGGUGAAGAAGGCCUUCGGGUUGUAAAGCCCUUUUGUUGGGAAAGAAAAGCAGCAGGUUAAUACCCCGCUGUUCUGACGGUACCCAAAGAAUAAGCACCGGCUAACUUCGUG